rnacentral:rRNA from 1 species
AGCAGCCGCGGUAAUUCCAGCUCCAAUAGCGUAUAUUAAAGUUGUUGCAGUUAAAAAGCUCGUAGUUGAGUUUCGGAACCGAUGGAUCGGUCACGCCAUUCGGUGUGUACUGGUUUAAUUGGUUCUCACCUUCUAAGGAACCGUGAUGUCAUUAAUUUGGUGUCGCGGGGAAUUAGGACUGUUACCUUGAAAAAAUUAGAGUGUUUAAAGCAAGCUCACGCUUGAAUACAUUAGCAUGGAAUAAUGAAAUAGGACAUUGUAUUCUAUUUUGUUGGUUUCUAGGAUCGAUGUAAUGAUUAAUAGGGAUAGUUGGGGGCAUUAGUAUUCAAUUGUCAGAGGUGAAAAUUCUUGGAUUUAUUGAAGACUAACUA